AUGAACGCUGGCGGCGUGCCUAAUACCUGCAAGUCGAGCGAACAGACGAGGAGCUUGCUCCUCUGACGUUAGCGGCGGACGGGUGAGUAACACGUGGAUAACCUACCUAUAAGACUGGGAUAACUUCGGGAAACCGGAGCUAAUACCGGAUAAUAUAUUGAACCGCAUGGUUCAAUAGUGAAAGACGGUUUUGCUGUCACUUAUAGCUGGAUCCGCGCCGCAUUAGCUAGUUGGUAAGGUAACGGCUUACCAAGGCGACGAUGCGUAGCCGACCUGAGAGGGUGAUCGGCCACACUGGAACUGAGACACGGUCCAGACUCCUACGGGAGGCAGCAGUAGGGAAUCUUCCGCAAUGGGCGAAAGCCUGACGGAGCAACGCCGCGUGAGUGAUGAAGGUCUUCGGAUCGUAAAACUCUGUUAUUAGGGAAGAACAAAUGUGUAAGUAACUAUGCACGUCUUGACGGUACCUAAUCAGAAAGCCACGGCUAACUACGUG
rnacentral:rRNA from 1 species